UGCCUAGGAAUCUGCCUGGUAGUGGGGGACAACGUUUCGAAAGGAACGCUAAUACCGCAUACGUCCUACGGGAGAAAGCAGGGGACCUUCGGGCCUUGCGCUAUCAGAUGAGCCUAGGUCGGAUUAGCUAGUUGGUGGGGUAAUGGCUCACCAAGGCGACGAUCCGUAACUGGUCUGAGAGGAUGAUCAGUCACACUGGAACUGAGACACGGUCCAGACUCCUACGGGAGGCAGCAGUGGGGAAUAUUGGACAAUGGGCGAAAGCCUGAUCCAGCCAUGCCGCGUGUGUGAAGAAGGUCUUCGGAUUGUAAAGCACUUUAAGUUGGGAGGAAGGGCAGUAAGUUAAUACCUUGCUGUUUUGACGUUACCGACAGAAUAAGCACCGGCUAACUUCGUGCCAGCAGCCGCGGUAAUACAGAGGGUGCAAGCGUUAAUCGGAAUUACUGGGCGUAAAGCGCGCGUAGGUGGUUUGUUAAGUUGGAUGUGAAAUCCCCGGGCUCAACCUGGGAACUGCAUCCAAAACUGGCGAGCUAGAGUACGGUAGAGGGUGGUGGAAUUUCCUGUGUAGCGGUGAAAUGCGUAGA
rnacentral:rRNA from 1 species